GAAAACGUAGAAAAGCCUCCAGUUUUGACCCAAAACUUCCGACGUUCGUUCCAACGAUCUCGGCCACCAUUUUCAUUGAUCUAGGUACUCCGACCCAGCGUACACAACAGGCGGGACCCUCUCAGGGUCAAGUGGCGUGGGACUAUCUUAGAAAGUCUUGAACCGAGCGGGCGUAUCAAGUCGUGAACUCCCAGCCUGAGCUUGUGUAGGGCAAACUUCUUAUUAUUUCUAUUCCGUUGAACUUCAUUUAUGUUUGUAACUGAAUUUCGUAGAUAUGCUCUAUUAUCGCCCAUGUUAGGGUUGAUUGUAAGGCCUCUGGUGUUUAUAAUUGUGUUUUUAACAGGUUAAAAUUUUUGGAAAAUGUCCAUUUUUAGGGGAGACUCUGCCGA